GCUGAUUCAGCUUGCUUUUGAAAAGGACCUGACUCACAAGUUUACGUGUGAGUGGAAGGAUAUGUUGAUGAGGAGGUUCAGCUCGGAGAAACGCGCCUCCCGCUGAGGACAGGGAGGGAGGACAGCGCUGACUCAACUCAAAAUGGCCGAAACAAGUGGCUACACGACGGGGGGGAUGUCGCAGGACUCCACCCUCAUCCUGUCCAGAACUGAGGAGGCCCCCGCUCUCCAGCUGGCUCCCCAGCUGGCUCCGCAGCCCCCUCCUCAGCCUGCUCCCCCUCAACUACCCCCGGCUGAGGAGGGGGACGAGGAGGGAUAUUUGGGAGAUGAUGAGGGGGAUGAUUGAAUUAUUUUUUUAUGUUUGUUUUUGUAUAUAGUUGUGUGG
ensembl:lncRNA